CGCUAUGUUCUCUGACACAACAAACGGAGAAGGAAGAUCUGCCCUGCCCAUUUAGUGCUUUCGGGCUCGUGUUUUUCAGCUGCAACUCCACCCCACGCCAGUGGAGAAGGGAUCGGAUCCCACUGAUCGCAGGAAAGGGAGGUUGUGGGGUUCACUGGCUCACCGAGAAUUUAUCACAGGCUGGUUUGCUGCAAAAAGAAAAGUAAAAACGAAAAAAAGAAAACAGCCAAACCAACCCUCCAACCAACAGCACGCACACGAGGUGUGUUUUGAGCUCUGGG